rnacentral:rRNA from 1 species
UCAUUGGAAACUGGGGAACUUGAGUGCAGAAGAGGAGAGUGGAAUUCCACGUGUAGCGGUGAAAUGCGUAGAGAUGUGGAGGAACACCAGUGGCGAAGGCGACUCUCUGGUCUGUAACUGACGCUGAGGCGCGAAAGCGUGGGGAGCGAACAGGAUUAGAUACCCUGGUAGUCCACGCCGUAAACGAUGAGUGCUAAGUGUUAGGGGGUUUCCNCCCCUUAGUGCUGCAGCUAACGCAUUAAGCACUCCGCCUGGGGAGUACGGUCGCAAGACUGAAACUCAAAGGAAUUGACGGGGGCCCGCACAAGCGGUGGAGCAUGUGGUUUAAUUCGAAGCAACGCGAAGAACCUUACCAGGUCUUGACAUCCUCUGACAAUCCUAUGAGAUAGGACGUCCCCUU